rnacentral:rRNA from 1 species
UACGAAGGGGGCUAGCGUUGCUCGGAAUGACUGGGCGUAAAGGGCGCGUAGGCGGUUUGUACAGUCAGGUGUGAAAUUCCCGGGCUCAACCUGGGGGCGGCGCUUGAGACGUAGGAACUGGAGUGAGGAAGAGGGUCGUGGAAUUCCCAGUGUAGAGGUGAAAUUCGUAGAUAUUGGGAAGAACACCGGUGGCGAAGGCGGCGACCUGGUCCUUGACUGACGCUGAGGCGCGAAAGCGUGGGGAGCAAACAGG